rnacentral:rRNA from 1 species
UCCAGACUCCUACGGGAGGCAGCAGUGAGGAAUAUUGGUCAAUGGGCGCGAGCCUGAACCAGCCAAGUCGCGUGAGGGAAGACGGUCCUAUGGAUUGUAAACCUCUUUUGUCGGGGAGCAAAAGACGCCACGCGUGGCGUUCCGAGAGUACCCGAAGAAAAAGCAUCGGCUAACUCCGUGCCAGCAGCCGCGGUAAUACGGAGGAUGCGAGCGUUAUCCGGAUUUAUUGGGUUUAAAGGGUGCGCAGGCGGGGAGUUAAGUCAGCGGUAAAAUUUGGGGGCUCAACCCCGACAAGCCGUUGAAACUGGCUUGCUAGAGUGGGCGAGAAGUAUGCGGAAUGCGUGGUGUAGCGGUGAAAUGCAUAGAUAUCACGCAGAACUCCGAUUGCGAAGGCAGCAUACCGGCGCCCAACUGACGCUCAGGCACGAAAGCGUGGGUAUCGAACAGGAUUAGAUACCCUUGUAC